AGGACUUAAAUUCAUUAUGGUUAAAACGUGUGGAAUUUUAUUUUGAAAUGUACUUCUUGUGUUUUAUGUUGUCAUUUCCUGUUAUAAAGGAAGUUUAUUGUGAAAGGUCACUUAGCAUGCGCAGCCAGCUACAAAAGUAAACGGUACACGGUAAUGACGGUAAGAGGCACAGAGAGAGUAACGAGUGAUACAAAAAGGCAACCAUAAACGGGAGAGUAAGGUGUAACAAGGAAUUUAGCUCCAGUUGAAAGUGGCAACAAGCUCUUACGUUGGUCCUAUGUUGAGCUACGUUGGUCUAAGUUGGACUUGCAAACUGCAGCCUGGUUUAUGACCUGCAAUAAAAGACAUUUGACCAUCAGUCCUGGCUUUCACUAAUUUCGACUGGUACGCUACAUCAGGUUUUAGUUGUUUUUGUUUCUUUGCUGUUGUUUUUUGUCUCUGUGGUGGUUUCACAUCUCUUUUUAAUUGUUUUAUCUCUGUGGUUGUUUUGCGUCUAUUUUUUUACAAUUUUUUUUGCCUGUUUGUGGUUUUCUUGCAUCUCUUUUUAGUCCUUUUUUCUCCCUUGGUGUCACUUUGUGGUCAUUUUGUGUCUUUUUGUGGUUGUCUUGUGUCUCUUUUUUACCUGUUUGUGUUUUUUUGCAUCUGUUUUUAGUCCUUUUGUCUCCCUUGGUGUCUCUUUGUGGUCAUUUCACAUCAGUCUUUAGUUGUUGUUGUUUCUUUGCUGUUGUUUUGUGUCUCUGUGGUAGUUUUACAUCUCUUUUUAGUGGUUUUGAGUCUGUGGUUAUCUUAAAUCUCUUUUUUACUUAUUUUUUGCCUGUUUGCGGUUUUCAUGCGUCUCUUUUUAGUCCUUUUGUCUCUCUUUGUGGUCAUUUUGCAUCCGUUUUUAGUUGCUUUUUGUUCCUUUGUGGUUGUUUCACACCUCUUUUUAGUUGUUUUGGGUCCGUUUGUGGUUGCCUUGCAUCUCUUUUUACUCAUUUGUUGCCUGUUUGUGGUGGUUUUGUAUCUCUUUGUGGUCAUUUUGGGUCUUCUUUAGCUGUUUAGUGAUUUAUUUCUAGUCAUUGUGCAUCUUUCUCGUUUUGUCUUUCUUUUUAAUUGUUUUGUGUCUCUCUGUUGUAUUUUGUGUCAUUCGUUGUUGUUUUGCAUCUAGUCUGAGUUGUUUCGUGUGUCCUCGCUGUUGUUUUGCAGGUCUUUGUGGUUGCUUUGUCUCUUUUUAAGUUGUUCUGUAAGUUUUUGUCAUUGCUGACCCUGACACCGGUUUACCGGUUGAUCCAUGUGUUGUCAAUUUUCCUUCUUCCUACACGUCAUCUGACUGUUAACCCGCUGCCAUGGUAACCAGAAAAUCAGAUUUGUUCACUUCAGCUGUCAGGGUUUGAAUGUUGUACGUCCGUAUGAUCAAACCAAAGUCAUUUCAGACAGUCGUGCACUCACUGUUUGCGGUGACGGCUAUGAUGGAGAUGAGCAGGAUGGCACACAGCGUCGCCAGACAGAUGGUGGCGAGGCGGUAGGGCCCGGGGCCACUCGGUCUGGGGAUGAUUCUGAUCGGAGACACCGGGUGAACUGGAGGAAAGAUCCAUCAUAAACAAAAUAAAGCUUUCUCUUCA